rnacentral:lncRNA from 1 species
AAAUUGACCCUAACACUUAAGAGUCGUAGGUGCCAGAGAAAUCGAGUCGAUAUUAAACCUCAAAGUUGAAAAAUAUUGACCUUAUAAACUUGUACUUUUUAGCUUAUAUAACUUUAACAUAUGGGUUAAUAUAUGUUCAAUUUCCAGAUUGUUGUCUUACGGUUGAGUCAUUUGGCAGGGAUGAGCUCAAUAGAAACGAAGACAACUAAAUCUGAUUUCUCCGUGCGUUACCGUCAUCAUCUUCUCCGUCACCCUCACAAUUGAAGCUGGUUUCAACAGAAACGAAGUCAACAGAUCCCGCAAGUUACGGUCUUCUCCGUCGAGCUCUCCGUGGAAGCUCUUACCGGAAUCCAUGGCCGCAACAAGCUCCAUUCCUCGUCACAGGUCCAAAAACGAAACCGUUGUGAUCUCGUCCAAGCACCAGUCGUCGACGUCGGAUUGUCUCCAUAUCGGUCGCUCUCUUCCGCCGUCGUCUCAGCUUCUCUCAACAACAAUUGCUAAGUUUCUCAUAAUUGCAUAUUUGGUCCUAAUUAGUUUGCUUCUUUUCAUUUUGGCCCUAGACUAUUAUAAUGUACAUAUUUCUUUAGAUUUUUUUUAUCUAAACUCUUAAAUUGUGUUCAUCUAAUCCCUAUUAAUGAACACACAUAUACAAUAAAGAUAUUUAAAUGCACCUAAAAAAAAUAAAACGAAAUAAAAUGUAAAAUUAAAUAUAAAUCAUAUAUUCAACCUUAUAACAUAUACUUUAUAGACCCUAAACACUAUAUACUAUAUCAUAAAUUCUAGGCUAAACAUUAAAUUAAAUUUGUAAACACAAAUAUAAAACACUAAACAAUAUACUCUCAAAACUUAAAUCAAACACUAAACCUAACACACUAAAAAAUAGACCCUAAUCACUGUAUCAUAUUCUAUACCAUAAACACUAAAGUAUAUACCCUAGACCCUAAACCAUAUUCUAAACAAUAUACCCAUAUAUAGGAAUUCUAAUUAAACACUAAACUCAAUAAACUAAAAACUUAAAUCUAACAUUAUAUCCUAAGGGUGUUUCAAAAAAAAAAAACAUUAUAUCCUAAGAUAAUAACCACUAAAAUUAUACAUUUUCAUAUAGUAUCUCACUAUAUAUCCUCGUACCUACAUCGCGUAAACCGUAAACAAAAACAAAAGCCCAUAAACUAAAAUACCAAAAUCUAAACCUUAAACUCUAAACUCAAACAUGUAACUCUAAUCCCUAGACAUUAAACCCUAAACUUUAAACUCAAAAUCCUGAACUAAAAAAACUAAACCCUAAAAUGAAACCCUAAACCGUAAGCUCAAAACCCUAAAUCUUUUACUCUAAACCAUAUACCUAUUUUAUCCAUAUCUAUCUCUCUGGCCCAUCAACGCUUUUUUUUUUAUGUGAUAGUAACUGAGAGUUAGUAGGUUAGUAGAGUAUCGAUACCCUAAAUCUUUGACUCUAAACAAUAUACCUAUUUUAUCCAUAUCUAUCUCCCUUACCACCAACGCUUCUUUUUUUGGUUAUGUGAUAGUAACUGAGUGUUAAAGAUUUAGUAAAUUAGUAGACUAAAGAAAAAAAAGUUAGUAGAUUAAAAUGAUAUUGGAAAAUGUGGUAAAAGUUUGUCAUGAAUGUAUUAGAUAGUUUGCUGAAUUGUUGAUUUUUUAAUUACAAUAAUUAUAAUGUAUAUUUAAAAUAUAUAAUAAUAUGAAAUUUUGAAACUAAACAUGUUUUAGUUCCGAAAUAAUUACAAUCAGUUUUCUAUUUAACCCUAAAUCAAACAUAGUUUUACACGUAAAUUCUCCCUAUAUAUCUUCAAACCUGAACCCAAAACCCUAUAUCAAACACUACGCCUUAAACCUAAACCCUAAACCAGAUAUCCAAAACAUAACCCUAUAUCGUAAUGUAUACAUGAGUAUAUACACUUAGCGUAUAAAGGAGUGUACUCUUAGUGUACACCAGAGCUUACACAUACGGUAUCAGAGUGUAUAUCUAAUGUACACUAGAGUGUACAUAGAAACGUACACCUAGUGUAAAAAGAGCGUUCAUUUAGUGUACAACGGAGGGUACACCUAGUGUACAAAGAGCGUUCAUUUAGUGUACACCGCAGCGUACAUCAAUGUAUACUAGAGUGUACACGGAGCGUACACAUGGGCGUACACGGAGACGUACACAGAGGCGUACACCGGAGAGUGCACCGCAGUGUACACCGCAGUGUACACCGCAGUGUACACCGCUAUGUUGUAAACUAUUAUGUACACUACGGUGCACACCGCAUAAUACACCGAACGUACACGAAAUUGUACACCGUAGUGUACACCAAGGUGUACCUUAAUGUACACCGGGCAUAUUUUAACAUUAUUAAUUAAAAUGUACACCGGACAUAUUUUAUCUAAAAUGCUUCUUUAAGUUACAUUUUAUAUUUUAACAUUAUUAAUUUACAUAGUAUAAUAAUUUAUCGUACUGCCACACUCUUAUUGUUAUUCAAUUACCUUCAUUGCUCUCUCUUUGAAAGCUACAUUCUCAACAUUAAGAAAGGAAAAGCUAUGCUUUAUUUUUAUUAUCUUAUUACUCUCUGAAACCUUAAAUCAAACAUUUUACAUCCCUUAAACCUAAUAUUAUAUAUCCUAAGAUAAUAAACCACUAAAACUAUACAUUUCCAUACCAUGUAGUUUCUAAUUAUAUAUCCUGAGACCUACAUCCCCUAAACCCUAAACCAUAAUCAAUAUACUCGAAAGCCCCUGAACCUAAUAUUAAUAUAAAUGAAUAUCACUUUAUACAUAUUAUUUAUAUAUCUUAUAUAGUAUAUAAGACGCCUAACCUUAAACCCUAAACUCUAAACCUGAAAAAACUCGAAAUCUUUAGCCCUAACUCAUAUAUUCAAGACCAUAAACUCAAAAUCUAAUGUAAUUCAAAGUAAAUCCUAAACCCUAAAACUCAAAACCGUAAACCCUAAAUCAAAUGAAUAAUUAAAAAAUAUAAGAAAAAAAGAGAAAACGAUAAUAGCUACGACCCUUUACCUAAUGCAUAGGAGUCUUAAUUAUCGUACGAUAUUAUGUCUACGAUCAAUAUACACCUUGUGAUACGAUAUUUUUCAGGGUUAGUAUUAAUUUAUUGUACCACCACACUAUUAUUGUUAUUCAGUAUACACCUUGGAAACCAAAACCCCACACUAUUAGUGUUAUUCAGUCACCUUUGUCUUAUUACUCUCCAAAACCCUAAAUUAAAUAUUUUAUAUCCUGAGCCCUAAACAAUAGACUCUAUAUCCUAAAAUCAAAGUGAUACUUUGAGGCUAUCAUAACUCCAAUGUAGUGAUACUUUGAGACUCUAUACCGUAAACCCUAAAUCAAAAGAAUAAUUUUAAAAUAUGAGAAAAAAUAAAACAAUAUAAUAGCUACGACCCUUUACAUAGUGCAUAUGAUUCUUAUCGAUUUAUAGGCUGGUCUUAAUAUUAUAUUAUGUCUACAAUCAAUAUACAUACAAAACUUUUCAAGGUUAGUAUUUAUUUAUUGUACUGCCACACUCUUAUCGUUAUUUAGUAUACAUCUUGGAAUGCAAAACCACACUAUUAUUGUUAUUCAGUCACCUUUAUUGUCUUAUCACUCUCUAAAACCCUAAAUUACACAUUUUAUAUCAUGACCCCUAAACAAUAGACUCUAUAUCCUAAAAUCAAAGUGACACUUUGAGUCUAUCAUAACUCCAAAAACCUAAAUCAAAAAUUCAAAACCUAAACCAAACACUAAAACCUAAACCCUACACCUUGAAAACUAUACACUAACUCUAAACCAAACAUUAGACUACAAACCCUAAAAUUUAAACCAUUUAGUAAAUAAAUAUAGUCAGACAACUAAACAAAUUCUUGAAAACGUAUUUACAUUCCUUUCCUGAAAAUGCAAUUUGUAUUGAACAAUAAAAGUUAUUAAUAAAGUUACAAAAAAUAAAAUAAUAAUAAUAUAAUUUAUUUAAAAGUAGAUGUUAUUUCAUUGUGAGCACUUGAUAUAUUAUUCACAGUGUAAAUGUUUAUUUUUAAACUAAUAUAAUAAAAUAAGCUCAUAUUCUAGAGUAUACAUUAGCAUACUUAGGAAUAUCGACGAAAGAACAAAGUAAAUAAAAUUCUUCAAAUUUUGAGAUACAAGUUGCUAAGGGUAUGUGUUUAAAGUUGAAUGUAUUUUUAUGGAUCCAUUACAUAUCACACAAGAAGCAAAAAGAAUAGAAUUAUGUUAUACAUAUCCAAAACUUCAUUUGACAAAAGAAAAACCUUAUACUUAUGUCAUGAGCUUUAUGUCUUACGAUCUAAAAUCAAGCAUUAAAGCCUAAACUUUACAUCAUAAAUUCCAGUGUACACUAGAGCUUAUACUAGUGUACGUUGGUGUACACUAAGUGUAUGCUCCUUUGUACACCAGAUAUGCAUUAUGAUGUAAGAUGUCAGCUCAGAUGCACACUAAGUGUACACCGGGAAGUGUACACCGAGAAGUGUACACCAAAAAGUGUACACCGGGAAGCGUACAGCGGGAAGUGUACACUGAGAAAGCGUACAAGGGGAAGUGUACACCGGGAAAGCGUACAAUGGGAAGUGUACUCCGGGAAGCGUACACAGAGAAGUGUACACCGGGAAGCGUACACAGAGAAGUGUACACCGGGAAGCGUACACCGAAAGUGUACACCGGAAAGCGUACACCGAAAGUGUACACCGGGAAGCGUACACCGAAAGUGUACACCGGAAAGCGUACACCGAAAGUGUACACCGGGAAGCGUACACCGAAAGUGUACACCGGAAAGCGUACACCGAAAGUGUACACCGGGAAGCGUACACCGAAAGUGUACACCGGAAAGCGUACACCGAAAGUGUACACCGGGAAGCGUACACCGAAAGUGUACACCGGGAAGUGUACACCAAGAAGUGUACACCGGAAUGUACGUCGGAAAGUGUACAACGAAAGUGUACACCGAGAAGUGUACACCGGCAAGACUGGACUUUACAUAUAACAAUACAUAACAAUAAAUCAUUCUUUUGAAUAUAUAAUAAAAUUAUAUAUAUAAUACAUAGAAUUCUUAUCGAUCUAUAGGCUGGACUUAAUAUAUUAUGUUUACGAUCAAUGUAGACCUUGUGAUACAAAUUUUUUUAGGGUUUGUAUAAUUUAUUGUAUUGCCAUACUCUUAUUGUUAUUCAUUAUACACCUAGGAAAGCAAAACUAUACUCUUAUUGUUAUUGAGUCCCUUUCAUUUCUCUCUCUUUGAAAACUCCUACUUUCUCAACAUUAAGAAAUGAAAAGCUGUGCUUUAGUUUUAUUGUCUUACUACUCUCUAAAACACUAAAUCAAACAAUUUAUACCGAGUUGUUCUUGGGUUCGCCCCAAAGAGUGAACCUGUAAGUUCACCAACCAAUAAUAUUUUGUUAUUUUAUAUUCAGCAGUAUCUAUUAAAAAGAAAAUAAAUAAUAAGAAUUUGCUAAGUUACAUUAUGUUUUUUAAAUAAAAAGGUAUAAAUAAAUAAAAAUAAUAGUAAUUGCAGCAAAAAACUAAACCCUAAAUCCUAAAAACUUGAACCCUAAACUCUUAAGUAAACCUUAAACUCUUCGAUAAAUCCUAAACCCUAAAUCGUAAACACUAAAUCUUAAGAACACUAAACACUCAAUUUUAAGCCCUAGAUCCUUGAAUAAAUCCUAAACCCUAAGCCAUAAAUCUUAAUCAUAAAUCCUAAACCUAAACUCAAAACCUUAUACCAAACACUUGUCCUAAACCUAACUCUUAAACUAUAUAGUUAAAACCUAAACACUAAACCCUAAAUUCAAAACAUUAAACUAAACCCUAAACACUAAACCAUAUACAAUAUAUUAUAAGCCCUAAGAUUUAUGCCAUAUACUCUAAAAUCGAAAUUAAAUUGGGGCGUGUAAACCAAAAAGUGUACACAGAGAAUUGUACACAAGGAAGUGUACAUCGGAAAGUGUACACAUGAAAAUGUACAACGGAAAGUGUACACUGGAAGUGUACAUCGGGAUGUGUACACAUGAAAAUGUACAACGGAAAGUGUACACUAGAAGUGUACACCAGAGGUGUACAUACGGAUAUGACAUGGGGGCGUGUAAACCGUAGCGUACACACUCCAAUGUACACUUUAAUUUUAACUUUGUUUGAGUAUUUUAGUUAAAUUGUAAAGCUUAAACAAUAUAUUUUUUGUAAUUUUUGACAAAAAUUUCUAAAGUGAAUAAAAUUCUUCAAAAUGAAGAAAAAUGAGAGAGAGAGAGAGAGAGAGAGAGAGAGAGAGAGCUGUCAUUAAAAUACUAAACCCUAAAUCCUAAAAACCGAACCAUAAACCUUUCAUUGCUCUCUUUUUGAAAGCUCCUACAUUCUCAACAUUAAGAAAUGAAAAGCUAUGCUUUAGUUUUAUUAUCUUACUACUUUUUAAAACACUAAAUCAAACAAUUUAUACUGAAUUAUUCUUUGGUUCACUCCCAAGGGUGAAUCUCUAAAACACUAAAUCAAACAAUUUAUACCGAAUUAUUCUUUGGUUCACUCCCAAGGGUGAAUCUCUAAAACACUAAAUCAAACAAUUUAUACCGAAUUAUUCUUUGGUUCACUCCCAAGGGUGAAUCUCUAAAACACUAAAUCAAACAAUUUAUACCGAAUUAUUCUUUGGUUCACUCCCAAGGGUGAACCUGUAACUUCACCAACCAAGGAUCACCAAGCAAUAAUAUUUUGUUAUUUUAUAUUCAGUAAAAUAACAAAAUAAUAAGAAUUUGCUAAGUUAUAUUAUAUUUUUAAAUAAAAAUGUAAAAAUAAAUAAAAAUAAAAGUAAUUGCAGCAAAAAAAAGAAUUUUUCAAAAAUAUGUUUAACGCUGUCAUUAAAAUACUAAACCUUAAAUCCUAAAAACUGAACCCUAAACCCUUAAGUAAAAAACUCUUAAGUAAACCCUAAACUCUUCGAUAAAUCCUAAACCCUAAAUCGUAAACACUAAAUCUUAAAAACACUAAACCCUUAAUCCUAACCCCUAAGCCAUAAAUCUUAAUCAUAAAUCCUAAACCUAAACUCAAAACCUUAUACCAAACACUUGUCCUAAACCUAACUCUUAAACUAUAUACUCAAAACCUAAACACUAAAUCCAAAAUUCAAAACACUAAACUAAAACCUAAACACAGAAAGCCGUCAUUAAAACACUAAAUCCUAAAAACUGAACCCUAAACCCUUCAUUUCUCUCUCUGUGAAAGCUCCUACAUUCACAACAUCAAGUGCAGAUAGCUAUGGCGAUCAGCUUGUCUGAUCUUGAUCCAACAGAGAAACGUAACCUGUGAUUUGUUUAUUCAUAUAUUUUUAGUAUAAUGCUUUGAUAAUAUAAGUCAAACUAGUUAUAAUAAAUGAUUUGUUUAUAUGGUAAACUGUGAUAUAAUAGAUAAUUAAAAAAUCACAAAAUAUAAUUAUUCAAAGUAAUAAAUAAUUUUUUUAUGUUAUACUAACUAUAUAUAUAUAUAUAUAUUAUACCGUUAUUACAAAAUACGGUCAUGUGUCAAACUCUAGAAAUAAACAACGAUCGCUCAAGAUUAUUUUUCUUUAACAAAUUUAUUUUAAUAGAAAGUAUAGUUCCAAAUAUGUUUAUAUAUUUUAUGUAAUUAUAAAUUUAUUUUCUAUGUUUUUCAGGGAUGUUAAGAUUUUGGAAUUGGAAAAAAUUAUGACCCACUUCUAUAUUAUUUUAAUUAGAAAUUUUAAAAUUUAUAUCAGAAUAUUUUAUUAAACUUUUAAUUUUUAUUUUUAUUAUAACUGCAAAAAUUAAUUUACAGUCUAAAUUUAUGUUUAAAUAUUACAAAUACAUCAAUUAAUACAAAAAAAAAAAACAUAAAAUAAAUAUUGGUACGGUCGGGCCGAUCAAGGUCUAGUUAUUUAUUAAUAAGAAAUGUCAACAAUUCUGAAAUAGUCAAACUUGGUUAAAUAAAUCAAAAACAACUGAUAUUAGUUAUGUACUUAUGUAUUUGCAUCGCAUUUGCAUUUUGCAUAGAUAUUUGUAGGUAGCAGGGGUUGGUUGCCAAUUAAAAAUUUGAAUAUAGCUUGAAAAGAAAUUUUGCAAAAUAAGAAAUUUGAAGGACACAUUAAAAAUAAUUUAAAAUGAAGGGACCUAAACAGAAAUAAUGAGAAACUUGACACAGAUCUGUAUUUUGGAGACGACGACGGCGUGGGUUGACGGUUAUGCGGCGGAGAGAAGCUUGCGUCUCAGAGAUAGUCUGAUCAGGAGAGGCGACGACUUGAUGACCACCGUGGGACGAGCUCUCGACGAGGCUCACCAGAGGUUGUGGAGGAGAUCUGAGAGCUUGAUAGAGAAGGAUGCGUGACAACUUGAUGACCACCGUGGGACGAGCUCCCCGACUCGACUGCAUCCGCAACGGAGGAGGAACUGAGGCGACGACAAAGCACAGCGGCUACAACCUUUGGCUCAAGCUCGCAUACUACGAAGAGAUGAGACAAGGGCACAUCGGGUUUGAGCUCGUGUGAUGAAGGAGAGUGAAGAUGGUCAGUAGUCUUUUUUGACUCACUACAUCAAGGUCAUGGAGACCUGUAUGACCAUGAAGGUCAUCUGCGUAAUGCAACAUGUCAAAGGAUAGAUGCUCAGGGGGCUGCAAUCCAUGAGUCUGAAGCUACAGGAGCUACUCUACCUGUAGAUAAGGCUGCUCGACCCAGAACAUUGGCUGACUACAACCGUCCAUAUCAGUUCUACACCAACAAAUUAGCCAUUCGACCUCCAACUAUUCAGAGGAAUUUCGAGUUGAAGCCGCAGUACUAUACACUCGUGGGAUAGACACCCUACUAUGGGUUAUCUUACGAGCAUCCUAUGGACCAUCUGGAGAGGUUUGAGGAUCUGAUAUCUGCUAUUAAAGUCGAGGGAGUCUCUGAAGACUACCUCCUAUGCAAGCUCUUCAAGUACUCACUUGCUGGAGAUGAUUCGCAUUGGCUUAAGCAGCUACCACCGAGAUCUGUCACAUCCUGGAGCGGCAUCAAGAAUGCAUUCUUAUGCAACUUCUUUGAUGAAUCACGUGCUGAAGACUUUAGGAGCAAGAUUGCUACAUUCACUCAUGAGCAUGCAGAAUCAUUCAGAAGCUUCUGGAUCAGAUUCAAGUCUUAUCAGAGAGACUAUCCACACCAUGGAUUCAAUGAAGUACAACUGCUCAGUACUUUCUACAGAGACAUCGCGGUGCAGUACCAGAUGGCUCUUGAUGCUUCCAGCAAUGGGAACUUAAACACCAGGAAUCCAGAGGAGGCAGUGAAGGUCAUUGAAAACCUAGCAUCUAGCAGCAGCACCAAGAACACUGAUUUUGAGAGGAAGAGAUCUGCCACCAUCCUUGGGAAUGAUCAGAUGGAUGAGGUGAAGGCAAAGCUGGACAGUGUUCACAAGCUUCUCAGGAAGCAUGUCUGCUUGGUUGAAGAUGCAGAGGCUGUAGAUACAUAGGGUAGAGCAGAGGAAGCAGAUGUGAACUUCAUCAGUGGAACUGCAUUCCAAGGUUCUGGAAACCAGGGUGGAAAUAGAAACUCCUAUGGAAAUAGGGGCAACUUCAACCAGAGUUCGCAGCACCAGAAACCCUACAUCAACAACUACACCAACAACAUGGGUUAUGGAAGCUCCUACUACCAGAAGCCACCACCGCCAACUCAAGAGAGCAAGAUUGAGGAGAUGUUUGAUAGAGCUCUCGAGGGACAGCAGUGCAUGACAGUGGACUUCAAUGGGAAGAUUUAUUUUGUCUACACCAACCUGAACACAAAGUUUGAGACUUUGAGCACUCAUGUGAAAAAGCUGGAGAUGCAGGUUGAUCAAACAGGAAAAGUUGUUAAGAGGCAGGGAGCCUUGACAAGAGGGGUAGAAGACGAUGUGAUGAAGCACCACGUGAAUGCCAUCAUUGGGGAUGAUUUUUGGCAAGUGGUGAAAGAAGAGAAGCUGCAAGAAGGAGAUUUCGAAGUAGAGAGUCUGAUGAGUUUUGGCGGAUCGCAUUGGUGUCGAUCGAUGUCAAGCCACAAACAUCGGUCGACAGAAGUCACCCAAAACCGAUUGAUCUCCUCUCCUGAACAUCGAUCAAAAACACCUACAGAGUCAUCCGCAUCUUGUAAUGCCGUGAGGAUCAUGACUCACGAGGAGUUCGCAGCAAAACACCCACAUCCACCCAGCCCUGUCUACGUGAAGAUCCAUCGAAAUCAGGAGCCUGUCAUCGAUCGACAUUAUGAGCCCGUCAUCGAUCAACAUCAGGAAACCGUCAACGAUCGACAACCACCAGCGUACCGAGUGCAAAUGCUAAAGAUAGAUGUUGCACGUCUUAAUGCACUCAUGCCCAAACCCAAACCUUCAGAAAACCCACCAGAUGCAGUCAGGACACCUUCAGAUGAUGGAGUAGAUCCUAUGGAGGUUGAUAGGAUUCCUAUGGGAAGAAACCUAAGGAAAAGAAAGGAAAAAGUGGAAAAACAUCUGAAGAGGGGAGUUAAUGAAAAGGAGAAGGAAAGUUUCCGAAAAAGAGUCUUCAGGAUUCCUCUAGAAAAGACAUUCGAUGAGGCUUAUUAUACCCACAGAUUGUGGAUGUUCUUUAGAGAAACCAGAGAGACAGAAGAAGAUAUUAGGAGAAUGUUCUGUGCAGCUAGAGAGCAGAUGAGAAAGAGGGUUACACUGAAGAAGAAGAGUGAUACUAGGCAAUUUGCAAUACCAUGCACGGUGAAGGGCAUUGAAUUCCCACAUGCCUUGUGCGACACAGGAGCAUCAGUCGGCAUCCUACCUAGGGUUAUGGCAGACCAUCUGGGUCUGCAGGUGGAGCCUUCCAAGGAAUUGUUCACUUUUGUGAACUGUUCUCAGAGAAACUCAGGAGGGAUUGUGAUAGACCUAGAGGUGCAGAUUGGUAAUGCCCUAGUUCCAGUUGAUUUCCAUGUCUUGGAAAUCAAGCUAAACUGGAACUCUUCUCUAUUACUUGGGAGAGCCUUCUUGUCAACAGUGGGAGCAGUGUGCAACUUGCAAACUAACCAGUUGUGCCUAACGCUCAUAGAUCCUCAUGCCCACUACAACCCUAUUCCAGACAAGAAGCCACAGACGACCCCCAAAAGAUUCAAUGAUCCAGGAAUCAUUGCAGCAUGCCACUUUGGAGCUGAGUACGAGAUAGAAUACUCGGCGUCGAUCGAAACUCACACUGCAACAUCGAUUGACAUUGCCCAUCAAAAAUCGACUGACACACCAACGGAAGAAUCGGUCGACAGUAGUCCAGAGGAUUGGGAGAACGACUACUACAACCCCACUAUGGCAGCAUAAACCAGACAAAACAUGAAUACUGAGGAGUAUGACGAACACUACGAGGAGGAACGAGCUACCAAGUACAAAGCCAUUCUUGAUGAGGAAGAUAAACUUCUACAUCAUUCCUCUUGGAAAAAGAAUGCACCAUCGAUCGACAGCACAAGCUCGCCAUCGAUCGACACUCAACCUCUUCAGAGAAAUCGAAAACGAGCAACGACCGACAUCGCCUACUUCCCAUCUAUCGACACUAACGUCGACGCUACCCGAGAUGGAGAUUACUCAAUUGGAAGUUGGGCAGAUGAUCGUCAUCACGAGAGCUAUGCAGUAGAGACAGCAUACCAUGAUCAAGGGGCCGAUGAUCUUCAUGAGGGUUUUACUUAUGAAGAACUUCUCAACAUGCAAAGAUGCGAUGAAACAAAUCAGAAACAAGAAAAAGCUGCUUGGGGAAGAACACAUUUCAGCCAUCUGAUCGACAGAGCUAUUCCUCCAUCGAUCGACAUCAAUCCUUCAACAUCGAUCGACAUCCGUCCAAAACUAAAAACCACUGUAAGAGAAAAAGAUAAAUCUGAUAACCAGUAUCUAACUCCAGACGAAUUUGGUAUUUUCAGGGACCCAGAUGGCUAUGCAAAAGCAAUGGAUGGACGUACAUUGCAUGUAUCUCGAGAGGUUUUUGCUGACAUCCUUCAGACAGCCAACAGGGCAGACAACCUCUUCAUGCAACAACGCACUAUUACAGAACACUAGCAGAAGGUUACAAAUGAGUUCUAUGACACAGCUGGUGGCAUAGAUAAAUGCUUCAAACAGAGGUCUCGACACCUUACUCGACCAUCGAUCGACGUCAGUUGGCUAACUAUUUGCAUGGAAGAGAUGAGGCAAGACAUAGCCAGAAUUCAGCGUGCAACCGACGUGACUCCCUCUACAUCGAUCGACAUACAUCGACAGGCAUCAGUCGAUAGUCGCUUACAUGCAUCAAUCGAUAACCGCUUACCAGCAUCGGUCGACGACAACCCACCACACUCACGUACGAUGAAGUCUCAACCAGAUUUCACACCAGGGGAGAGAUAGAUCAGUUUGUAGAAGGGAUCUACAGAGCUCUGGAAACUACAGAAGAGAGGCUUGACAAGAGAUGUGAUGACAUCUAUUUCCCAAUGGAUCUUGGCAUUAGUGCUUUGACUUCCAAGAUAGAAGCUAUUCAAGGGGAAUUAGUGGAGAUUCAGAGUUACAUUGCCCGUCGACCAGAAGCAUCUGCAUCGCUCGACAGAAGCAACAACAUAUCGCCCGACAUUCGUCGCCAGACAUCGGUCGACGACGCUAUAAACCGAGGUCGGCUAGUACAAAAGGUGACAUCAGAUAUGUUUGACACACAUAACCAUGGAGAGGAGAUCUCAGUCGACACAUACGCCACAGUUAUGAGACAUCAGUUCAAUUUGGAGAGUCUUGGAGAUAGAUUGCAGAAGAUAGAAGAUGCAAUUACAAUAAUGAAGGACAAAUAACGCAUAGGAGAUGAAGCAAUGCGAGACUUCACUGGUACAUGGUUCAACAAGCGCAGAGAAGAGAUGGAGACUUGUUUCCCAACAAGUAUCAGCUUUCAACAUUACUAGCCCAAUCACCUUCAAAAGUCUAGCUAAAUGACUAUAACAAAGCGCUGAGUGGGAGGCAACCCACUAUUAGGUAAUAUUUAUUUAGUUUUUAUGAAUCUACUAUUUAUGUUGAUUUUAAUUAUUGCAGGUCAUUAAGAAAAAAAAAAAAAGAGAUCCGAGUAGACGAUUGCCGUCAGUAUCGACCGACGAAACACUGUCGACAUCGAUAGGCAUAGCAUUACCUGCCGCAACUGAUAUCAACAUCCUAACAUCGGUCGACAUACAUUCUGGUCUGGUAUAUCGUUCUAACUUGUUACAUUACGUACUUAUGAUUUAUUUAUCACCAUAACUCUGACUGAGUUUACACUGGAGACAGUGUAGUUUAAGUCUGGAGGGAGGUUUACUGAUAGUAGUUUAUUUAUGAGUCUUAUUAAAAUAUAUUUUCAAACAAAAAGUUUUUAUUGAGUCAAGAAGGGGAUAAUGAACUUAUUAGAUUUUUGCUUGUUAUCUAGCCACUCUUUAUCACCAUUAUAGACUUACUGAUUGAAUAUAGUACUAAAGAUACUAAAGUGGAUCAACCUAUUAACUAUGCUACACUUGCUGAGAUUGUUUGAAGGAACCAAAGCUGACCUCCAACACUAAACCUGACACAACUGCUUGUCUUGGGGCUUGGUAUACAUGGGAUCGGAUUCUUCAAGCAAGUCUGGAAGGUAAAGCCUUGUGUAUAUAGAUUUAUCACCCUCUCUCUCUUUCUAUUUUCAAAAUAUAGAUUAAAAAAAAUUAUUAUUAUAUAUAUAUACAUAUCUAUUAGAGAUUUAUUAGGAAGGAAUACGAACAUGACUUGGUGGCUACAACCAUUAAGGCUUGCUUCAUAAGAAUUCUAUAGGUAAAGAAUUAGAAUAUGACUUGGUGGCUAUAACCAUUAAGGCUUGCUUCACAAAUAAUCCUAGGAUAUAGGUCAAAAAGAAGUGAACAAGACUUGGUGGCAACCACCAUUAAGUUUUGAUUCAUGGAAGCCUGUCUUGGUGGCUAUAACCAUUAAGGCUUGCUUCACAAAUAAUCCUAGGAUAUAGGUCAAAAAGAAGUGAACAAGACUUGGUGGCAACCACCAUUAAGUUUUGAUUCAUGGAAGCCUGUCCAAUCUUGGUCAAUGAUCUUGCAAAUAUAAGCAGACUUUAACUAAGAGAGAAAGUUAGUAGAGAGAGAGGAUAUGAACUAAUGUUUACCUGCAGGUCCAUAUACUUGUUUGAAAAUCCUUGCAUCAUGUGAUCGAUACUCCCAAGGUAAAGCCUGCACUUUUAUUUAUGCUAGGAAAUGAGGUUGGUAGAGGGGAAUGUCAGACAAGAUUUGCUAAGUUGUCAGCAAGGUGAAUUUGGUUGCUAAGCUAGGAUAUGGUAUAAUGUGCUUUUGUGAUUAGGACUUCUUAGAUGUGGAUUGCAAUAUUGUAGAGGUGAUGAUUCUAAGUUUAAAAUUGUGUGAGUCCCUGCUGUUUUCAAACUUCUUUCAGAGAGAUUGCCUGUUUGUUUUGCUUGAGGACAAGCAAAAGGGUAAGUCUUGGAGAGUUGAUAGACCAUGGAUUUGACCCACUUUCACCCAUGGUUUAUAGGUGUUUUUACUAAUAAUUAUUAUAUUAUAGAGUCUAUUUAUUAUAUUUAUAAGAUCAGGAGUGAUUUGGAGAUAAGUGAUGAUUUUGGAGCAUUUUGAAGAUAUUUGGAGCAAGCACCCGAGAUGACCAUCGAGUUCGACCAUCGGUUGAUAUUGAGGAACAAAUAUCGAUCAAUGUUCACAUCAGAACAUCGAUCGACAGCGAAGCGCGCAGAAGGCGCGUUUGGUCACAGUUGACUUGAAGCCAAAGUCUUCACCAAUUUACAAUAUUACCCCUGACGAGUUUUAACCUAAUUAUAUAAGCUUUGCCACCAUGUUAGAUGCAAAAGUGUGCUUUCUUGUGUUUCUAUUUUUAUUAUUAUCAGCAAAGGUUUUUAGGAUUUUGAUAGAUAAGAAAGAAGAUCCAAAGGUAUAAUUUGUGAUUGGAACUCCAUUAAUAUCUAUUUACUAUUCUAAUGAAGUUUUCUUACCUAAUUGCUUUCAUGAAUUGCUUGGCCAUGUCUAAGUAGUUCCAUUAUUAGAUUUUAGGGUUUAAAUAGGUUAUGAGGGAUUAGCCCCAACUAUAGAUUGCUGAAUUGUGAUAAUUAUCAUUAAGAUUGUCAUUAAUGCCUGAUUCUAGAUUAGCUACCUAGAACUUGCCCUAGGAUUGUUAGAUAAAAGCGAUAGCUUCAUUCUCAUCCUGAAACCAUUCUAACUGAGCUAAGUUUCUUGCUAAGAGUAAGGCGAGAGCUGAUCUAGUGAACUUAGUAAGCAUCAUUCAACCCGCGUAUAAAGCUUAACUGGAAGCGCGUUGAUCGAUAUCAAUACUGAAUAAUCGAUCGACGGAGUGAAAGGUGUAUCGAUCGAUAUCCCUAUAGGAUCAUCGAUCGACACUGCUAUUGAUCGAACACAUUUGUUUGGGUCAUUAGAUCUAGUUAAUAGACGAGUCCAGACAUGCGAGAGCUGAUUGACUUGUUGAUUUAGUAGUUGAGCUUUACAUUAUCAUGCAUGCAACUCAUUAGGCAUCUGUAGGAUUAUAAUCCCAAGUUUCCUGAAUAAAAACCCUAAGUUUAGCUAUUUCCUUUUAAGCACCAAAACCUCACCCAAUUAAUCGAGCAAUUACUUGCUCAACAAAACUGCAACUUUCCAUUUAAAUCAUUAAAACCACCUUACUUAGCAAAUCAUAUUAGGUUCCCUAGUUGACUAGCUCCUUGUGAAUUCGAUCCAUAAAUACUGCAAUUGAACCUCUUAUUUGAGAGAGUAAAUUCACUCUUUAGGGUAAUCUGAAUGAUAUCACUAAUUAAAAACAAACCUUACAUAAAAGUUGAACUAAUGAUGCAUGUAAGACAUGCGAAAAUGAGUAUAUUAACUGGCCAACAAUUCGAUUCAAACCGUAGUUAUGUUGCCGGUAGAGCAAUUAAUUGUAUGGUUGAUCUAGAAAAAGUAUGACGCAUCCACAACACAUUCUCUCACUUAUGACCUGUUUAUUUUCUCAGUUUUGAUUCAUAGCCUUCCUUUUUUGCAGAGAGGUUGUAUUGCGA